UGAACGCUGGCGGUAGGCCUAACACAUGCAAGUCGAACGGCAGCACAGUAAGAGCUUGCUCUUACGGGUGGCGAGUGGCGGACGGGUGAGGAAUACAUCGGAAUCUACUUUUUCGUGGGGGAUAACGCAGGGAAACUUACGCUAAUACCGCAUACGACCUACGGGUGAAAGCAGGGGAUCUUCGGACCUUGCGCGAUUGAAUGAGCCGAUGUCGGAUUAGCUAGUUGGCGGGGUAAAGGCCCACCAAGGCGACGAUCCGUAGCUGGUCUGAGAGGAUGAUCAGCCACACUGGAACUGAGACACGGUCCAGACUCCUACGGGAGGCAGCAGUGGGGAAUAUUGGACAAAGGGCGCAAGCCUGAUCCAGCCAUACCGCGUGGGUGAAGAAGGCCUUCGGGUUGUAAAGCCCUUUUGUUGGGAAAGAAAAGCAGCAGGUUAAUACCCCGCUGUUCUGACGGUACCCAAAGAAUAAGCACCGGCUAACUUCGUG
rnacentral:rRNA from 1 species